GUCUAUGGCCAUACCACCCUGAGGCACCCAACCUCAUUUAAUCUUGGAAACUAAGGAUUGCAGGCUGGUUAAUACUUGGAUGUGAGACAAAUAUGUCUCCAUAGAAA
rnacentral:rRNA from 1 species